UCUGUCCAGGUUUCACGUGCUUCAUGACCUACAAACACAGACACACACGAUGAAAUCUCACCAUCUUGUGGGCUUCGCUGGACACCUUGUUGGUGUAUCGGAGGACCUCCAGCUCCAUGUCGGUCUUAAUCAGGCGGCUGCAGGGAGAAGAAGGAGAAAUCUGUCCGUCAGAUAAGGUUAAUGUACAGGAAACGAACAGCGGCGUACCAGCGUGAGGAGGACGGCGGCUUUCAGGCCGGCGAGGACUUCGGCAAUCUGCAAGGAAGCUACACCAGCUACACUUUUCACCUGGCUGGCCUGCCCUGACGCCACAAUGGCUGGCCAGUGUCUCUGCAAGAGCACUUUUGCAGCCGAUUCCUGAAAAAAACAUCUGCAAGUUCUUGUCUUACUGAUGAUCUUUGUCACUUAAAAACAGAAAAUCACUCCUGUUGCAUGGAGGAUCUUUGACUAGCAUCUUUUUUUAGAUUCUUACAAUCAGCAGAGCUCUCCUACGAUAUAGAAGAUCUUUGACUAACAUUUUUUUCUGUUGAUCAGUAAAAGCAGGAAAGCGUUAGAGAGGAUCAAUAACGAGUAUUUUUGCAAUAGGACCUUAAGCAGCACAGCGCUCCUGUCGGAUAGAGGAUCUUUAACCAGUCUUUUUGCAACAGAUUCUUAAAAACAGCAGAGCGCUCCUGUCGGAUAGAGAGGAUCUUCAACAAGUCUUUUUGUAGCAGAUUCUUAAAAACAGCAGAGCGCUCCUGUCGGAGAGAAGAUCUUUAACUAAAGUCUUUUUGCAGCAGAUUCCUAAAAACAGCAGAGCGCUCCUGUCGGAUAGAGGAUCUUUAACAAAAGUCUUUUUGCAGCAGAUUCUUAAAAACAGCAGAGAGAGGAUCUUUAACAAGUCUUUUUGUAGCAGAUUCUUAAAAACAGCAGAGUGCUCCUGUUGGAUAGAGGAUCUUUAACAAGUCUUUUUGUAGCAGAUUCUUAAAAACAGCUGAGCGCUCCUGUCGGAUUGAGGAUCUUUAACAAGUCUUUUUGGAGCAGAUUCUUAAAAACAGCAAAUCGCUCCUGUCAAAUAGAGGAUCAUUAACAAGUCUUUUUGGAGCAGAUACUUAAAAACAGCAGAGCGCUCUUGUCCAAUAGAGGAUCUUUAACAAGUCUUUUUGCAGCAGAUUCUUAAAAACAGCAGAGCGCUCCUAUCGGAGCGGAUCUUUAACCAGUCUUUUUGCAGAAGAUUCUUAAAAACAGCAGAGCGCUCAUGUCGGAUAGAGGAUCUUUAACAAGUCUUUUUGCAGCAGAUUCUUAAAAACAGCAGAGAGAGGAUCUUUAACAAGUCUUUUUGCGGCAGAUUCUUAAAAACAGCAGAGCGCUCCUGUCUGAUAGAGAGGAUCUUUAACAAGUCUUUUUGCGGCAGAUUCUUAAAAACAGCAGAGAGAGGAUCUUUAACAAGUCUUUUUGCGGCAGAUUCUUAAAAACAGCAGAGCGCUCCUGUCUGAUAGAGAGGAUCUUUAACAAGUCUUUUUGCAGCAGAUUCUUAAAAACAAAGCGCUCCUGUCGGAUAGAGGAUCUUUAACCAGUCUUUUUGCAGCAGAUUCUUUUAAAAGGUCCUUUUUUAAAAGGAAAACUGCACUUUUUGGCCUUGUGUGAGACAUAAACACACGUCUUUCUCGUCUUUUCUGCGCAUUCUAAAGAUUGAAAAGAGACAAAAAGAGGAAGCUAAGAAUGCACGUAAUGGGACCCGCCUAUAAAGCCUUCUGCCUUUACAUCAUGUGACCUGCUGACCUGCUGGUACACUUCUUGUCGUGUUUCCCUGCUGGUGUGCAUCCACGUGGAUCCCAUAAGUGAACCAAGCAAAACCAGCAUCACGCCAAAACGAUGUAAGAUCCUGACCUUGUUAAGGAGCACGUCGGCGUGUUUAUUUAUUUUCAAUUGGGAAGUUCGAUUAUUUUUAUUUGCCUCUUCCGCUGCAGAGACUUUUUCACUCACAUGCGGUCAAAGGUCGCGUACGAGCGAGCGGCAGACUUACUUCGGUGGAGUAGUGCACCUCAUCCACGCCGUACUUCACCCUGAAGUGCUCCUUGGGAAAGAUCCUGUCAACACAACGGAAGGCAAACACAAACGGGUGAUGAAAAGUACACGCUUUGUUUGUCCAGACAUCAUGGAGGAGAAAACACGCUCAUUAAGUUUUUCGGAAGCUAACAGAAGGACUCACUCUCCCAUCCAAGUGGCAUAGCUUUGGGGCAGUUUGGGGACAAAUAAGAUAGCUUUCCCAGAGUCCACUUCAAUGGCUCCGUAGCAGUCGGACUCUGUGACCCCAAAGGCCCAGUGGAAGAAGGACUCCUGCAGACAUUAGUCAGCAAGUGUGGACAAAGAAAGUACAAAGCAGGAAGGUCAAAUGUGGGAAAGUGGAAAUUUCAUUACCCUUGGGAACAAAGACACUGCUAAAAACAUCACCGCAGAGCAUAGCAAUCCCAAGGUAACCGGGAAAAUACAGAUGGCGGCAAUGCAUGCAAUACGACUUUUUUUGUCCGUGAUCUCCGGAUCUUUGAGCUUUUGUGAAGUCAGAUAUUAUGGAACUUUAAUGAUAUACAUAUCAUAUAUUGCAUAACACAGCAGCAACAGAACCAAUGUUGUAACAGCCAGAGUUAGUAGCAUAAACAGGACAGAAAGUGGAACAUGUGGGAGUUUCACACCAGCGCAUAGAGACGUAGAUGAAGCUGCUGGAUGGCGGGCAGUCAUCAUCUCUCAAAAGAAGCUACAGCUACAGUUAUUUGCUCUUACAGAAAUAGCAGUAAGUAAAAACGUCCACAGUUUUGUCUAAAGCUUCGUUGUAGUACUUGAACGCACCAGAAACAAGAAGACGUACCGCCCCGUACCAGCAGAUGGUAGUAGACCGCUCAUCAUUCAGUAGCUUUGAUCACUCAGGAACUGAAACCA